rnacentral:lncRNA from 1 species
CUUCUAUUUCUUAACUUUUGCUUUUUCUAGAUCCAGCGUAUAUGUAAAGCAAAGAUCAAGCCACGUCCAGAACCUCUAAAGAGUUUUUGGUGCUGCUUAUGUUUUGCUGUACUCCUCACUGCCCCUUCUCUCCUUAUCUCGGAUAUACCCACUAGGAUUCCACCAAAGAAGUUACAAAUGGCUUUCCAGGCCUCCUCAGGGGAGUUGGCUAUAGUUGGGAUUGCACUUGAUGUGGAUAUUAAAACCAUUCAAGGAAGAUACAGAUAUUUUGAAUUUCAACGCUUGCUCUGAAGAGAAUAUUGGUCUGAUGGGACUGAGAAACUCCCGUGUGAAUUGCCCGAGACUUCAUUGCCCCUGCAGUGGAAGCACACUACACAUUCUUGCUCUGGAAGCCAUUGCUUCACAAGGUGUCCAAGAAAAGGAUUUCAUUUAUGGGAAGAUACUUCUGAACUUGCUCAUUUAGCCAAGGGUGGACGCAUCAUGAAGAGUGUUACUUGAGAAGUAGAAUUAAUAAUGCCACAUAGGAGUUGAAAAUAAUGUGUACAGUCACUAGGCCAGAGUGGAGGUAAGAAAUUGUCAG